GAUGAACGCUAGCGGCAGGCCUAAUACAUGCAAGUCGAACGAUAGUGAGAAGCUUGCUUCUCACGAAAGUGGCGCACGGGUGCGUAACGCGUAUGCAACCUACCUUAAUCAGGGGGAUAGCCCGAAGAAAUUCGGAUUAACACCGCCUAAAAUCACAGUAUAGCAUUAUACAAUGAUCAAAUAUUUAUAGGAUUAAGAUGGGCAUGCGUGACAUUAGUUAGUUGGCGCGGUAACGGCCCACCAAGACCACGAUGUCUAGGGGAUCUGAGAGGAGGACCCCCCACACUGGUACUGAGACACGGACCAGACUCCUACGGGAGGCAUCAGUAAGGAAUAUUGGUCAAUGGAGGCAACUCUGAACCAGCCAUGCCGCGUGCAGGAAGACAGCCCUCUGGGUCGUAAACUGCUUUUAUUCGGGAAUAAACCUAUCUACGUGUAGAUAGCUGAAUGUACCGAAGGAAUAAGGAUCGGCCAACUCCGUGCCAGCCGCCGCCGUAA
rnacentral:rRNA from 1 species